rnacentral:tRNA from 1 species
GGCUCCUUAGCUCAGUUGGUAGAGUGUCAGAUUCCAGCCAUUCGGCGUCCUGAAAGUCAGCGGUUCAAAUCCGUUAGGGGUCA